rnacentral:rRNA from 1 species
CGGGACACGUGGUAUCCUGUCUGAAUAUGGGGGGACCAUCCUCCAAGGCUAAAUACUCCUGACUGACCGAUAGUGAACCAGUACCGUGAGGGAAAGGCGAAAAGAACCCCGGCGAGGGGAGUGAAAAAGAACCUGAAACCGUGUACGUACAAGCAGUGGGAGCCUCUUAAUGGGGUGACUGCGUACCUUUUGUAUAAUGGGUCAGCGACUUAUAUUCUGUAGCAAGGUUAACCGAAUAGGGGAGCCGAAGGGAAACCGAGUCUUAACUGGGCGUUAAGUUGCAGGGUAUAGACCCGAAACCCGGUGAUCUAGCCAUGGGCAGGUUGAAGGUUGGGUAACACUAACUGGAGGACCGAACCGACUAAUGUUGAAAAAUUAGCGGAUGACUUGUGGCUGGGGGUGAAAGGCCAAUCAAACCGGGAGAUAGCUGGUUCUCCCCGAAAGCUAUUUAGGUAGCGCCUCGUGAAUUCAUCUCCGGGGGUAGAGCACUGUUUCGGCAAGGGGGUCAUCCCGACUUACCAACCCGAUGCAAACUGCGAAUACCGGAGAAUGUUAUCACGGGAGACACACGGCGGGUGCUAACGUCCGUCGUGAAGAGGGAAACAACCCAGACCGCCAGCUAAGGUCCCAAAGUCAUGGUUAAGUGGGAAACGAUGUGGGAAGGCCCAGACAGCCAGGAUGUUGGCUUAGAAGCAGCCAUCAUUUAAAGAAAGCGUAAUAGCUCACUGGUCGAGUCGGCCUGCGCGGAAGAUGUAACGGGGCUAAACCAUGCACCGAAGCUGCGGCAGCGACACUGUGUGUUGUUGGGUAGGGGAGCGUUCUGUAAGCCUGCGAAGGUGUGCUGUGAGGCAUGCUGGAGGUAUCAGAAGUGCGAAUGCUGACAUAAGUAACGAUAAAGCGGGUGAAAAGCCCGCUCGCCGGAAGACCAAGGGUUCCUGUCCAACGUUAAUCGGGGCAGGGUGAGUCGACCCCUAAGGCGAGGCCGAAAGGCGUAGUCGAUGGGAAACAGGUUAAUAUUCCUGUACUUGGUGUUACUGCGAAGGGGGGACGGAGAAGGCUAUGUUGGCCGGGCGACGGUUGUCCCGGUUUAAGCGUGUAGGCUGGUUUUCCAGGCAAAUCCGGAAAACCAAGGCUGAGGCGUGAUGACGAGGCACUACGGUGCUGAAGCGACAAAUGCCCUGCUUCCAGGAAAAGCCUCUAAGCAUCAGGUAACAUCAAAUCGUACCCCAAACCGACACAGGUGGUCAGGUAGAGAAUACCAAGGCGCUUGAGAGAACUCGGGUGAAGGAACUAGGCAAAAUGGUGCCGUAACUUCGGGAGAAGGCACGCUGAUAUGUAGGUGAAGCGACUUGCUCGUGGAGCUGAAAUCAGUCGAAGAUACCAGCUGGCUGCAACUGUUUAUUAAAAACACAGCACUGUGCAAACACGAAAGUGGACGUAUACGGUGUGACGCCUGCCCGGUGCCGGAAG